CAGUGCGCGAAUCGCCUGAGGUGUGCAAAUCGGAUGAUGUGUUGGUGUAAGAGAAGCCAACGAUGGCCGGACUUUCAAGGAAGAGUAGGUUGGCUACAGUGUUCCAUGACAAAUUAUUGAGGUACAAACCCGUUCCAUUCUUCUUGAUCUUGAAUGGGCCUAUCUCCUCCGAAGCUCCAUAACCAAUCGAAGAGCAGCCAGGCCCUGAAUAAAUAAAGGGUGUUUGCCACCAAAAUUCAAAUUUUCAAACCCAUAAUCAUUAAUCAA